rnacentral:rRNA from 1 species
GACGAACGCUGGCGGCGUGCUUAACACAUGCAAGUCGAACGGAAAGGCCCCUUUUGGGGUACUCGAGUGGCGAACGGGUGAGUAACACGUGAGUAACCUGCCCUUGACUUCGGGAUAACUUCAGUAAACUGGGGCUAAUACCGGAUAGGAAUCCUUGCUGCAUGGUGGGGGUUGGAAAGCUUCGGCGGUUUUGGAUGGACUCGCGGCUUAUCAGCUUGUUGGUGGGGUAGUGGCUUACCAAGGCUUUGACGGGUAGCUGGCCUGAGAGGGCGACCGGCCACAUUGGGACGGAGAUACGGCACAGACUCCUACGGGAGGCAGCAGUGGGGAAUAUUGCACAAUGGGCGGAAGCCUGAUGCAGCAACGCCGCGUGCGGGAUGACGGCCUUCGGGUUGUAACCGCUUUCAGCAGGGGCGAAGCUUGUGGUGACGGUACCUGCAGAAGAAGCACCGGCUAACUACGUG